GGGCCGUUAGCUCAAUGGUGGAGCAGGCGCCUCUUAAGCGCAAGGCUACUGGUUCGAGUCCAGUACGGCCCACAA
rnacentral:tRNA from 3 species